AGAGUUUGAUCAUGGCUCAGGAUGAACGUUGGCGGUGUGCCUAAUACAUGCAAGUCGAACGGAGUUAAUAGCAAUAUUGACUUAGUGGCGAACGGGUGAGUAACGCGUUGGUGAUCUGCCUCGAAGUGUGGAAUAACGUUCCGAAAGGAUCGCUAAUACCGCAUGUGCUCUCGAUUUUUAGAAAGUUGAGAGUAAAGGAUUUAUUCGCUUCGAGAGGAGCCUGCGUCCCAUCAGCUGGUUGGUAGGGUAACGGCCUACCAAGGCUAUGACGGGUAGGGGACCUGAGAGGGUGGCCCCCCACAAUGGAACUGAAACACGGUCCAUACACCUACGGGUGGCAGCAGUAGGGAAUAUUAGAAAUGGACGAAAGUCUGAUCUAGCAACACCGCGUGUGCGAAGAAGGCCUUCGGGUCGUAAAGCACUUUUUGGAAGGAAUAGGAAGGAAUGUACUUCCAGAAUAAGUCUCGGCUAACUACGUGCCAGCAGCCGCGGUAACACGUAGGAGGCAAACGUUAUCCGGAUUUACUGGGCGUAAAGCGCGUGUAGGUGGUACUGUAAGUAGGGCGUGAAAGCUCCUGGCUCAACUAGGAGAGGCCGUUCUAAACUACAGAACUAGAGGAUGGUAGAGGGAGGUGGAAUUCCAGGUGUAGCGGUGGAAUGCGCAGAUAUCUGGAGGAACACCGGUGGCGAAGGCGGCCUCCUGGACCAUUCCUGACACUCAGACGCGAAAGCUAGGGUAGCAAACGGGAUUAGAGACCCCGGUAGUCCUAGCCCUAAACGAUGUAGACUAGGCGUCGGAAGUUUAAUCACUUUCGGUGUCCAAGCUAACGCGAUAAGUCUACCGCCUGGGGACUACGGCCGCAAGGUUAAAACUCAAAGGAAUUGACGG
rnacentral:rRNA from 1 species